UUUUAGAGCACACUGAUAAAGUGAACUCUCUACAAAGAAGAGCACGAAGCUGGGGUAUGUACUGAAGGCAAUACGUCUAUUGGUCUGAACCGGUCACUUCCCAGCAACAGCAAGACAGAGAUUCAAAAGAAAGUGAUACUCAUAUGGAUAUCCAAGCAAGAUAUGCUCCCUAUGCCAUUCCAUCCCAUCACUGGAGGAGUAGUUUUCAGAGAAAAGACCAAAUGCAUGUUAACAUGGAGACAAAGCAAAAACCUCUGGAGAGAACAAUGAAAACAAAUAGACAGGAUGAGACCUUGGGGAGCUGGUUCAAGAUUAUCAUUCCCUUUGGUAUAAAAUAUGAUGAGAAGUGGCUGAUGAAUUUGAUUCAGAAGAAGUGCAGUGUCCCCUUUACUGCAGUUGAAUUUCACUAUGAGAAAAUGCAGGCCCAGUUCUUUGUUGAGAACGCCAACGUUGCCUGUGCAUUGAAGAAUGUCAACGGCCAGAUUUUCAAUGAGGAUAAUGAAAAGAUAUCUAUCUUUGUUGAGCCCUGUGAUGCACCCCAGUCUGUGCAGAAGGCACUGACAGCUGAAAAGUUGGAGCAGAUAAAGCUUACCAUGAAUAAACCGUAUGAUGCCUGCCAGCAAGCUCUUGACAUCCGGAGACUCCGCUUUGGCCGUGGUGUGGCUACAGUAGUAACUGCAGGGCAGCUUUCAUCUUUGUACUUGAGCAACAAGAAACCCUACUUGGUGCGUGGCCUGUCCACCAUUAUGGAGAUUGCUUCUGCCAUCAAGAAGUUGAAUCUGUCCAACACUGAGGUGAACAUUGCAGGGGAGAUGGACAAGGGUCAUCAGCUGGAACCAGAAGGGAUGAGUGCAGACAGAAAUGCCGUGUGCACCACCUUCCGUGAUAAGUCAGCCAACAUGAGCACCCUCCUGGAGUUGUUCCCCAGGUUACUAAGCUUGGAUGGCCAGGAGACACCCUCAGGUUCUAAGUGUGCUAUGGAAGCCCCCAAGUGCUUACCAAUGUGCAAGGGAAGCUUCUUUGGAUCUGAAGAGUUGAAGAGUCUAAUCCUGCAAUUCCUGCAGCAGUAUUACUUGAUCCAUGACUAUGGGAACCGCCAGGGACUUCUGGGUGCUUAUCAUGAGGAGGCCUGCUUCUCCCUGACCAUUCCAUUCCAACCCGAGGACCCAGCCCUAAGCAGCAUGUGUGCGUACUUCUUGGACAACAGGAAUAUGAAGACGCUCAAGGACCCCAAUCUGCGUGUCAAGCUGCUGAAACACACAAAACAUGACAUUAUGCAUGCCCUCUGUGCGUUGCCCAAAACUCAGCAUGACUUCAGCUCCUUUGUGGUGGACAUGUGUUUCCAGACGGAAAAGAUGCUCUGCUUCUCUGUCAACGGGGUGUUCAAAGAAGUGGAAGGAAUGUCUCCUGGCUGUGUGCGUGCCUUCACCCGGACCUUCAUUGCUACCCCUGCCAGCUCUUCCAGUCUUUGUAUAGUGAAUGACAAGCUGUUUGUGAGCGAAGCCAGUCCCAGUGAGGCUCAGCAUCUGCAUUCUCCAUCCCAGUACCUACACUCACCUCCAGUUCCAUGCACACCCUCUCCCAGGAGCAACAGGAAAUGGAGCAGGCUUUCUUCAUCACGUCUGGGAUGA
rnacentral:lncRNA from 1 species